GAUGAACGCUGGCGGCGUGCCUAAUACAUGCAAGUCGAGCGAACAGACGAGGAGCUUGCUCCUCUGACGUUAGCGGCGGACGGGUGAGUAACACGUGGAUAACCUACCUAUAAGACUGGGAUAACUUCGGGAAACCGGAGCUAAUACCGGAUAAUAUAUUGAACCGCAUGGUUCAAUAGUGAAAGACGGUUUUGCUGUCACUUAUAGAUGGAUCCGCGCCGCAUUAGCUAGUUGGUAAGGUAACGGCUUACCAAGGCAACGAUGCGUAGCCGACCUGAGAGAGUGAUCGGCCACACUGGAACUGAGACACGGUCCAGACUCCUACGGGAGGCAGCAGUAGGGAAUCUUCCGCAAUGGGCGAAAGCCUGACGGAGCAACGCCGCGUGAGUGAUGAAGGUCUUCGGAUCGUAAAACUCUGUUAUUAGGGAAGAACAAAUGUGUAAGUAACUGUGCACGUCUUGACGGUACCUGAUCAGAAAGCCACGGCUAACUACGUG
rnacentral:rRNA from 1 species